AUUGAACGCUAGCGGCAGGCUUAACACAUGCAAGUCGAACGAGUGGCGGACGGGUGAGUAAUGUAUGGGCACCUGCCUGAUGUCGGGGGAUAACUACUGGACACGGUAGCUAAUACCGCAUACCAUCGGAUGUGCCCAAAUGGGAUUAGCUAGUAGGUGGGGUAAAGGCUCACCUAGGCCACGAUCCGUAGCUGGUUUGAGAGGAUGACCAGUCAGACUGGAUAUGAGAAACGGACCAGACUCCGACGGGAGGCAGCAGUGGGAAAUAUCGAACAAGGGGCGCAAGCCUGAUGCAGCCAUGCGGCGUGUAUGAUGAAGGCCUUCGGGUGGUAAAGUAAUUUUAGCAGAGAGGCGUUAUCCGCAGAAUAAGGACCGGCUAACUACGGGCCAGCAGCCGCGGUAAUUC
rnacentral:rRNA from 1 species